rnacentral:rRNA from 1 species
UACAGAGGUCUCAAGCGUUGUUCGGAUUCAUUGGGCGUAAAGGGUGCGUAGGUGGCGGGGUUAGUCAGGUGUGAAAAUCUCGGAGCUCAACUCCGAAACUGCACUUGAUACUGCCUUGCUAGAGUACUGGAGAGGAGAUUGGAAUUUACGGUGUAGCAGUGAAAUGCGUAGAUAUCGUAAGGAAGACCAGUGGCGAAGGCGAAUCUCUGGACAGUUACUGACACUGAGGCACGAAGGCCAGGGGAGCAAACGGG